UCCAGUUUACAUGGUCCAGCACUACUUAUGAUCGCGCUGCCAUGGCGUGUGACUCCAUAGGCCAGGCUCUUGUCAAUGAACGACUCUUUGAAAAGGAGUACAGUUUACAUAAGGAAUGUCUGCACCAGACAUUGAAUGGUGCUACUCUUUGGGUCAGAAGCCCCAAUGGACCCCUGGAGUACAAGUUUGGAAGAGACUCCAUGCCAAUACCUUUGCCAAAUACUACGUCUGAGCAGACGCGCGUCUUCCUAUGCAUGCCAGUUGAACUAAUGAGCAAUAAUGAUCACUGCGACGAUAAUACGUAUGAACCCUUGGCAGUUGCCCUUCUAACAGAAGCAAAGGAUAUCUGUUCUCUGCGACGAGGAGAACUGGUGAAGGAAAAUUCCUUCUUCUCAACACGCUGUCUUAUUCUUUUCCGUUUGAGGACAGGUCGUCAAGAUCCCUAUGUUUGUCACAUUCCAAGAUAUUCUCACCAGCCGGUCAGUGAAAGGACAUGCAGCCCGCGUCAGGGUGACAGAGGUAAAAUGCUCGUGCCCACUGACAAGAAAAUGGGAUAUUUCGAUGCGGUGCAUGCAUGCAAGCUCUGGAAAGGUGUUCCUCUAGACUCCAUAAACUCCAUCCACUCCAUAUACGUUACAUGUUUCCGAGAUUUGCCUAACGCACAAUACUUACUGCCCCUUUCUGACACCAGCAAGUGGCACACAUAUAACCAGCUCCCUGCGCGGAAAGACGCUCAUCCAGACAGCCUUUUCAUACCGAAACACGCCGCGUGCUGGAUCCCAGACA